ACCAAUAAUUCAAAAGGGUCAAAGUUGGUCAAAAUGGAACUAAUACUUUCUUAAAAUUAAAAUGGAAGGUCGUUGGUAAAACUUGGAAGUUGGUAAAACUUGGUCAAAGUAGUUCUAGAGAUAAAAGAUGGUCAAAGUUAUGAAAUCGUUCGCAAUUUUAACAAUUUCUAAGCUUUGGUCAUGUUUGCGCGGAAACAAUUGCAAGCCUUGCUUGUUUUGAUCGAAAAAUAUUUGAAGCUUUAAUUUGCUUAUGUUAGUCCGGAAAAUUUUUUGACAACCCACCUGUCGACAAUAUUUUCGGGAAACAUUUCUAUCACUUGG